rnacentral:lncRNA from 1 species
CGCACCAUGUAAGACCUAUAAGACCUAUUAAACGAGAUGCAUUCUUGAUCCAUGGUUCUUUUCCAUUUGCAAAGGGAAAAAUUCAAAACUUCUUGUUUAGGUAAAAAGAUUCAAUCCAUCCCACCAUACUAUUUGGUGGUCAGUUGUUUGGACCUUUCUAUCUUUCAAAAAAAAAAAAAAAGAUACUCUGUUUUGUGUAAACAUAAACAUAACAUAUAUACUACUAAAAUUAAUUUGCCAUGUCGCAACAGCAGCAGAAUUGCACCUUCGUUUCUAGCGAUAGGUUGGAUAAAAUAGCUAAUAGGAUAGGGACAAGCUUGGCCUCGGCCUUCUUUGCAUCCCUCGAACGUUGUUCCUGCAUCACCAUUAGUACCUCCCAUGACGAAAAUGAUGACAAAGAAGAAGACAAAAAUCGCCCUCUUUUGUUCAUCAAACAAGCAUCUUUCACCAUAUCUAAAUUUCCUUCUUGAUUUAAUUUAUUAAGAUGUGUAGACAUCUAUGCACAUACGAAAAGGCUGCUCGGAAGAUAUAUGGUUGUAGAUUCGGAAAAGGUUCAAAUUUGAUUCUUAUGAUGAAAUUGCUCGAUUUUGUCCUUCGUGAUACUUUUGGUCCACCCAUCCAAAAUUUUUGACAGGAAAAAAUCAUAGUUUAUCCAUAAUUUCUGGCAAUGCAUAAACAAAUUUAACCCUUUACCUUGUAGAUUUGAAGAGAUGGAAAAGAUAUCUUUUUGUUCUCAUUUUCGUUCGCAUAUGUAACUGAGGAUGUGUAAAUGUCAACAUGGUUAUGUAGAUUGGCCCUGAUUUUUUUACAAUGGCAAUGGAAAUAAACCAAACGAUCAUUUGUCGAAAUAGAAAAGAUAAAUGAUCAUGAUUUUGUAGUGUUAAUUUUCAGGGGGUGGGGUCAUUUGACUAAAACAAUUUAUGUACUCAACUAAUAAUCAUUAUCUCAUAUUG